rnacentral:rRNA from 1 species
UACGGGGGGAGCAAGCGUUGUUCGGAUUUACUGGGCGUAAAGGGCGCGUAGGCGGCCACCGCAAGUCGGUUGUGAAAUCUCUGGGCUUAACCCAGAAAGGUCAACCGAUACUGCGGGGCUAGAGUGCAGAAGGGGCAACUGGAAUUCUCGGUGUAGCGGUGAAAUGCGUAGAUAUCGUAAGGAAGACCAGUGGCGAAGGCGGGUCUCUGGACAGUUCCUGACGCUGAGGCACGAAGGCCAGGGGAGCAAACGGG